CUCGUAAGGAUUUUCUGCCUCCUGCCUCCUGGACUUGCUGUAGCAAGACCAGAGAAGAGCAACGGUGAUGCAUAUUAUCAGGAGAGGAGAGGAGAGUGAGGACAAGCAGAAGAAUCUUACAGAGUAGUAAGUGCACAAAGUGCUUAUGAAUGGUUCUAAGGCGCUCUGGCAUAUGCUAUACUGGGAUCUCUCUGGCUUCUCCAAAGAGGAGGAAAACACAGCACUCUCUGAAAUGGCUAGCAAAGACUUUGAGGGAAGAGCAGGUUUUCUUCAAAGAGGAGGAAGUGUGCGUAUGUGUAGCUGUAUCUCAGGAGGAAAGUGGACAAGGAUCAGAGGUGGGAAGCCGGUGACAGAGACAUCAUUUUUGGAGGAAACAACUCAGCAUUGGAUGCUAUGUCACUGUUGGGUGGAAACGAGCUGCAUCUCCAGCCUCAUCCUGUGCUGUAGCUGUGAAGACUCGGGAGAGUUUCCCAUGAGUGACCUCUUCCACAAGCCCCUUCAUCCACCAAAUUCCAAAGACAGAGUUUGCAUGGUUGUGCUGCUAGUAUUUUCAAAUUCCACUCACUGGGUGGAGAAGGAUGGCUGCCCCUGACUUAGGCUCUUGUCCUGUAGCAGCCUGAUGCAACUCUGCUCCUCAGGAGGAUGAGUGCAGACAAUUGCCUCAAGGGUGAGAACAGUAGUUGAGGCCAGUACCUUUUCUGCAGCCUGUGCAAAAUAAAAGCUUUUUCGGAAAAGAAUCUGGACAAUUUCUGCAGUUCCCCUUGUACUCCUCCAGCAUACACAGUCAUUGGACUGGGGACAUUAGAAAAUGCAUUUCUUCCUAUUUGCUUUCAAAUCUUUUUGUGACCUUGUUGUUCAUGCAUUUGUCCUGUUGUUUAACCUGCUGAUACAAUCUGCCCCUGCAGCCUCCUAUGGCAGCAGAUUCAUUACUUGCUAUAUGGAAAAUAAAAUAAAAUAAAAUAAAAUAAAA
rnacentral:lncRNA from 1 species